rnacentral:rRNA from 1 species
GGAGGAAAGUAGGGGAUCGCAAGACCUUGCGCUUUUUGAGCGGCCGAUGCCUGAUUAGCUAGUUGGUAAGGUAAUGGCUUACCAAGGCAACGAUCAGUAGCUGGUCUGAGAGGACGACCAGCCACACUGGGACUGAGACACGGCCCAGACUCCUACGGGAGGCAGCAGUGGGGAAUUUGGACAAUGGGCGAAAGCCUGAUCCAGCCAUGCCGCGUGAGUGAAGAAGGCCUUCGGGUUGUAAAGCUCUUUCGGUCGGGAAGAAAUAGUUGUGGCUAAUAUCCACAAUGAAUGACGGUACCGACAUAAGAAGCACCGGCUAACUACGUGCCAGCAGCCGCGGUAAUACGUAGGGUGCAAGCGUUAAUCGGAAUUAUUGGGCGUAAAGGGUGCGCAGGCGGUUGUAUAAGUCAGAUGUGAAAUCCCUGGGCUUAACCUAGGAAUUGCGUUUGAAACUACAAAGCUAG